UACAGAGGUCCCGAGCGUUGUUCGGAUUCACUGGGCGUAAAGGGUGCGUAGGUGGUGGGGUAAGUCUGAUGUGAAAUCCCCGGGCUCAACCUGGGAAUGGCAUUGGAUACUGGCUCGCUAGAGUGCGGUAGAGGGUGGUGGAAUUCCCGGUGUAGCAGUGAAAUGCGUAGAGAUCGGGAGGAACAUCUGUGGCGAAGGCGGCCACCUGGACCAACACUGACACUGAGGCACGAAAGCGUGGGGAGCAAACAGG
rnacentral:rRNA from 1 species